rnacentral:rRNA from 1 species
GAUGAACGCUAGCUACAGGCUUAACACAUGCAAGUCGAGGGGCAGCAUUUCAGUUUGCUUGCAAACUGGAGAUGGCGACCGGCGCACGGGUGAGUAACACGUAUCCAACCUGCCGAUAACUCGGGGAUAGCCUUUCGAAAGAAAGAUUAAUACCCGAUGGUAUAAUCAGACCGCAUGGUCUUGUUAUUAAAGAAUUUCGGUUAUCGAUGGGGAUGCGUUCCAUUAGGCAGUUGGUGAGGUAACGGCUCACCAAACCUUCGAUGGAUAGGGGUUCUGAGAGGAAGGUCCCCCACAUUGGAACUGAGACACGGUCCAAACUCCUACGGGAGGCAGCAGUGAGGAAUAUUGGUCAAUGGGCGCAGGCCUGAACCAGCCAAGUAGCGUGAAGGAUGACUGCCCUAUGGGUUGUAAACUUCUUUUAUAUGGGAAUAAAGUUUUCCACGUGUGGAAUUUUGUAUGUACCAUAUGAAUAAGGAUCGGCUAACUCCGUGCCAGCAGCCGCGGUAAUACGGAGGAUCCGAGCGUUAUCCGGAUUUAUUGGGUUUAAAGGGAGCGUAGGUGGACAGUUAAGUCAGUUGUGAAAGUUUGCGGCUCAACCGUAAAAUUGCAGUUGAUACUGGCUGUCUUGAGUACAGUAGAGGUGGGCGGAAUUCGUGGUGUAGCGGUGAAAUGCUUAGAUAUCACGAAGAACUCCGAUUGCGAAGGCAGCUCACUGGACUGCAACUGACACUGAUGCUCGAAAGUGUGGGUAUCAAACAGGAUUAGAUACCCUGGUAGUCCACACAGUAAACGAUGAAUACUCGCUGUUUGCGAUAUACAGUAAGCGGCCAAGCGAAAGCAUUAAGUAUUCCACCUGGGGAGUACGCCGGCAACGGUGAAACUCAAAGGAAUUGACGGGGGCCCGCACAAGCGGAGGAACAUGUGGUUUAAUUCGAUGAUACGCGAGGAACCUUACCCGGGCUUAAAUUGCAUUUGAAUAUAUUGGAAACAGUAUAGCCGUAAGGCAAAUGUGAAGGUGCUGCAUGGUUGUCGUCAGCUCGUGCCGUGAGGUGUCGGCUUAAGUGCCAUAACGAGCGCAACCCUUAUCUUUAGUUACUAACAGGUCAUGCUGAGGACUCUAGAGAGACUGCCGUCGUAAGAUGUGAGGAAGGUGGGGAUGACGUCAAAUCAGCACGGCCCUUACGUCCGGGGCUACACACGUGUUACAAUGGGGGGUACAGAAGGCAGCUACCUGGUGACAGGAUGCUAAUCCCAAAAGCCUCUCUCAGUUCGGAUCGAAGUCUGCAACCCGACUUCGUGAAGCUGGAUUCGCUAGUAAUCGCGCAUCAGCCAUGGCGCGGUGAAUACGUUCCCGGGCCUUGUACACACCGCCCGUCAAGCCAUGAAAGCCGGGGGUACCAGAAGUACGUAACCGCAAGGAGCGUCCUAGGGUAAAACC